AUCUGGACCGGGCAGGUGGAACGGGAGGUGACUGGGAAAGGGCAGUUCCCCUCCCCACCCCUGCACCAGUCAAGUGGAAAGG
rnacentral:miRNA from 1 species